rnacentral:lncRNA from 1 species
GACUGUUCACCACCUUUGAGACCUUUAGACGUCGGUGGUUGUCAUGUUGACGUCAAUUGGUCGACUAUUCACCUUACCUUGCAGACCUUUAGACGUCUCGUUUUAGGGGCACCGACGUCUAUUGUUCUUCACUCAUCAGGUAGAGCAUGCCCCGACGUCUAGUUGCCCUACUUAAUUACAAAGUUGCCACCGGUCAUCGUUUUACAUCAGAGGACCAAAUAACCGACGUCUAUGUGGUGACGUUAAACAACAUUUUUCCACUAGUGUUUGUUAUGUCAUGACAACUUCUAUGUGUUGUUACAGUCAAUGUGUUGUCAUCAUAAAAAACCAAACACAUCAGAGAUUGGCUUCAACACUCAUAUUGCUCCCCUUAUCAACAAUCUCUCCCUUUUUUUAUGAUGAACAACCAUGAUUGAUACGCGGGGCCCAAGCAUCAUAAUAGACCCAUCAUUAAAAGCAUGAUCCAUCAUAAGGGCAAGGGUAAAAUUGUCCACAUGAUUGUCAAAGUUGCUAGCUGCACCCCACUUCUUUGCUAAGCACACCACGACUCAUUCCUAGCACAUGUAACAUAAUAUGCACAUGGAACUUCUAGAUGAAAGUCAUGCUAUCCAUAAGCUGCCACGUGGAUGAUGAUCCAUGAUUCUNGGCCUCCAUCUACACCACACGUAGAUCAUAGGNUUACUAUAAAUCACUUGGUAGCACAUGUAAUUGACACUUUGGAAAUAUAUGAGAUAUCAUUUCUUNUGCUGUUGAUAUUUGUCCAGNGGGAACUCUGUCCAAAGUCACACACCGAGCUUCUUCCUCUCCUCCACCUAGCUUUCUUCUUCUAGAAGACUUUCUGAGCUAGCUUCCGCUGCAUCAAGCUCUUCACUCCACCAUCGAUUCAACGUCACACCGUCACUGCAUCACACUGUUUUCCGCAUCAGGACUACUGUUCCAUUGUCUCAGCUUCAUCUCGCUUGGCUGAUUCCGUGCAGAUCUGGAGCGAACCUAUCAAUGAUGCACAACCAUGAUGUAUAAAACAACCAUGAUGUACAAUGCACAAUCCAAAUAUUUUUUAAGCAGUUCCAAGCAGACACAUAUUCCAAAUAGACACGUAUUCCAAACAAACACAUAUUCCAAACAGACACGUAUUCCAAACAAACACAUAUUCCAAACAGAUAGACACAUAUGUGUCAUCCAAAUUCUAUCUUAUCCAAAUUCAACUAUCUCAUCCAAAUUCAACCAUAUCUCCUCCUUUGGGCAUUAGCAAAAAAGGAAUUAUGGUACAAUGUAUAAUUGAAACACAAAGACAACGAAUUAAAUAGAGAUACAUCAACAAUUGUUCACUAUAAAGUCACAAAGAUGCUCCCCCUGUCAUUAAAACAUGUAUCAGAUGGUAAAGCUCCCC